UUAAUCCUUGCUGCGUCUUUAACCAGGCUGCAUUUUCUUUCUUCCAUAGCUUUUGCCAGUGGAAGACGAGGAGUGGAACAGAAACUGCAAGAUGGAUGUGAGAAGUUUGAGCAACACUGAGCUUAAGGAACAACUGCUGAAACACGGGGUCAUGCCGGGUCCCAUAUUACCAACCACAAGAAUUAUUUAUGAGAAGAGACUGCAGCAGCUUUUGGAUGAAGUGUCUGAACCAGCGGACAAGAACCGACCGGUCAACCAGGAUCAGUAUUCAGAUAGUGAAGAUGAAGGUUUUCUAAUGAAGAAAAAAGAAGAGAUGAGCGAUGAAACAGCUGAUGCAACACAGAACAACAGACAAACAAAAAUUCCAGCAUCCCUUGCAGCUGAUUACAACCAGAAGCUGGCAACAUUAGGGGAUGAUUUCACUGUAACUAGGAUACUUAAGCAGGAAAGUACUGUUACCCUCUUUACUAGCUUUGAAUUCAAGUUUGUAAUUUAAGUAGUGAUAUAUCUAGCAAUAUAAUAUAUAUAUUUUAUAAGAUUAAGGCAAUGUAUCAGUUGUGUAUAACUGUCUGAGAUAGUGAGAGAAGUUUGAAGGUUUGUGGGAGAUAUUGGGUUUAAAGCCAAAAAAUAUACUUUUGGUUUUUCAAAACUGCUGCAUUGCCAACUUAAUGGCCUGACCACAGAGAAAUGUUUAAUAAACAGAUGGAGAGGCGGUCUAUUGUGGAACAGGCUGCGUUGUUCAAGAAAGAGCUGAAUCCAAAAAGCCAGGUAUAGCUACGUCAACAUGAGGGAAGACAAUGUGGUCUUAAAAGGUCCAGAAAUGAAUCGGGUCUGCCUGUCACAGCACACAGCACACUUGGCCAGAAAAUGCAGUGCAACCCGCAGAAAGCCAAUAAAGGGUGCUGCUGGGCGCCCCAUACAGUUCCGUUAUGAUGAGUUCACCACUAAGGCUCGGGUCCAAGAGAAGACUAAAGCCACACCAAUCAAAAAAAGCUCUAGACGUCUAAUUUCCGUGCCACUGCAGAUAGUUAUUUUUAUUGUGGUUGCCUUUUUUGCACUGGUUUUCUUCACCUUAGAAGGUAGCCCAGAUAAUCCUUUUAGAUCACUUGUAGAGAGUAGUGGCAGUGCACAGCAGCCUUAAGGUAUUUAUAGAAUGGUAAUGUCAAGGCUCAUCCUCUCCUAAAGGAACAAUGAGAGUAGCUUUUAAAAAAGGAACACUGUUAAAUGGAUGGGAUACAUUAUACUAUAAUCAAUGAAAUGGUUAAACUGAGUUCUCACUUUUAAUUAUAUUACCUGGCAUAUUCUGAGGAUUGGGUUCCUGGUAAAACGAAACCUUUUUUUUUUUUUUUUACCAAUUUUUUAACAGCAUUUCCUGACACACACAAUCCCUACAUCUCAGUGCUUGGCACUAGCUGUCCUAGUGGGCAGGUAGUUGCCUCCCUGUGGUGGAAGAGGUAUAGUACUUAUUACAUCAUUAAUUGUUAUCCACCCUUUUGGGACCUUUCAUAAAGUUAAUGAAAAGCUUCACUGUUAAAUUAUCCUUAGCAAAUAAUUAAUGUGCUGCUUUUUUUUCCAAUUUAGAUCUUCCAUAUUGUCUGCAAAAAAAAACUAAUGAAAUUCUUUGUUGAGAUAGCUGUAUAUUUCAUCCUCUUGGUUGCUCCAGUGCACCCUAUUAAGCUUUACAUUGCAUCAAAAAACAAGGACCUUUUGCAUUGUCCAUUGCAUUUUUACCUUUAUCCUGCUUAGUACUUUACUAUAUUACGCAAUUCUUAUUGUCUGCGUUCAUAAGUUUAAUGUACUACAGUAAGAAAACAUUUUUUUUUUUGUAAGAGUGGCAAAUGGUUUUCACAUUAAUUAUCUUAAAUAUUAUCUACCUCAUUUCUUUAAAGCAGGGAAUGUUUGCUUAAGAAGCACUUCCUUACCCUGUGUUGCAGCUUUGUGUCAAGUACUGUUUUAUUUCAUUUUGAAAGUUGUAUGUUUUUAAACGUCACUCAUUAGAUAACCUGACCAGUAGGAGUGACCAUGCUGCAAUGUUUAUUUUUUUCUAUCCACACUAUAAAUGGCAAGUUGAGGUACUUUAUGGUCUAUAGUUAAGCAGUUCUAGAAUGCACUUGAACCCAAAUAAACCAUUUCCUGUAAGUGGAGUAUUGAAAAGCUGUAUGCAUGUUAUUGCUUUAAUGAAAAUUUAAAUGUGACAUGGGUUCAUAUUUAUAAAUGUUUGUUUUUACAGUAGUUAAGUGUUAUUUCAAAAACAGCAAGCCUUUCAUGUUUGUGCCACCAAAUUAGAUCAAUAAUCGUUAACCACUGGUUAGUUUUACUUUAACAACAUAGCUCUUGCAUUAAUGCCCCUUUAGUGCAAAAAAACUAUUGUUUACAACUGAAAUUGUUGCAUUUCCUGCAACUGCCUAUUCCUACAAUUGACAUUGUGUCCAUCUCUGUAACCACACGUGAAUAUAUGCCGUUUGAAGAAUCUUGAUAGAGUAUUGUUAUACUGACAUUACCUUGCACAAUUUUAAGUCAGCCAUCCCAUUACUGGCCUAUAGGUGGUGGUCCUGUGAUGUGGAUCUUCGACCUAAUCAUUAACUGCGAUGAGUAAAAUCUCCAGUUUCCUGCUUUGUGUGCAUUAUAACCGGUUAAUUUUAAUACAAGAGCAGCCCUGAUAGAAUUAAAAAAAACAGACAAAACCAAGUAACAGUGUAUCAGUGUCAGAAUAGUCCUCCUCUUGCUGAAUAGGUUGAAUAUCUCUUUAUAGCUUUCAUUUUAUUGUUACAGAACCUCGUGUUAAAAUACAGGUUCACGUGCUACGUAGUAGUUAAAUAAAUCCCUCUCCACUUUACCCCUUUUGAUUAUAGUGUACGUGCUAAGUUAUUUCAGUCUGUGUUUAAAUAAAGAGUGUUUAUUUUCCAUUCCUUGUGUUUUCAUUUACGAAUAUUUCAGUUACAUAUUGGGCAGUCUCUUCAUGGCAUCAGUAUACUAAUGCAGUCCUUGCCUGAAUGCAUUUUCCAAACCUGCUCAAUAGAUAUCUGAUUUUUUUUUUUUUUUUAUUAAUUGCAUGUUCUGCUGUCUGGUAGACAUGGUAACUAUCCCUGGAGCCUCUGUGAGGCUACAUUUUUAUCAUUGUUACAUAAUUAUUGUUUAUCUUUCUAUAAAAGCCCUCUCCCAGUCAUGUAUUUUGAUUUGCAAACUGCUGCAUGUUAGCAGUUGAAAUUCCAAACUGGAAAGCUGCAGAAAAAAGUAAAUGAAUCCAAAGCCAUAAAAAAGACAAUUUGCAAAUGUGGAAUACAAGUGUCUAAUUCGCCAUGUUUAAUUAAGGUGAACUACACAUUUACCUGGUACUUUUUUUUGUAUGUGUAGGGGAGAAGAGAAAUCCUUUCCCUGCUUUUCUGUCUGUGACAUCAU